AGCGAACGCUGGCGGCGUGCUUAACACAUGCAAGUCGAGUGCGCGUUUCGUAGCAAUACGGGAUGGCGCACGGCGCACGGGUGAGGAACACGUGGGCAACAUGCCCUCUGAUGGGGAAUAACCCCGCGAAAGCGGGGCUAAUACCGCAUAAGAUUCCGGGGACCUCGGUCCCUGGACUGAAAGCCCGCAAGGGCGUCGGAGGAGUGGCCCGCGGCCGAUUAGCUUGUUGGCGGGGUAACGGCCCACCAAGGCAAUGAUCGGUAGCCGGUCUGAGAGGAUGAUCGGCCACACUGGAACUGAGACACGGUCCAGACUCCUACGGGAGCAGCAGUAAGGAAUAUUGCGCAAUGGGCGAAAGCCUGACGCAGCGACGCCGCGUGGGGGAUGAAAGUCUUCGGAUUGUAAACCCCGUUUCGGGAGGGAAGAUGGAACGAGCAAUCGUUCGGACGGUACCUCCAGAAGCAGCCACGG
rnacentral:rRNA from 1 species